CGCUAGUCUUAUUGGAGGCAAUGUUGGGAUACUACCCUUGUUUGAAGGAUGCUCUAACCUCGACCUGUAAGCCAGGCCAGGGACAGUGUCAGGUGGGCAGUUUGACUGGGGCGGUCGCCUCCUAAAGUGUAACGGAGGCGCUCAAAGGUUCCCUCAGAAUGGUUGGAAAUCAUUCGCAGAGUGUAAAGGUAUAAGGGAGCUUGACUGCGAGAGAGACAACUCGAGCAGGUAGGAAACUAGGACUUAGUGAUCUGGUGGUACCGUAUGGAAGGGCCA
rnacentral:rRNA from 1 species